AUGGUUAAGUUAGAAAGGGCGCACGGUGGAUGCCUUGGCACUAGGAGCCGAUGAAGGACGGGACGAACACCGAUAUGCUUCGGGGAGCUGUAAGCAAGCUUUGAUCCGGAGAUUUCCGAAUGGGGAAACCCACUGCUCGUAAUGGAGUAGUAUCCAUACUUGAAUACAUAGAGUAUGAGAAGGCAUACCCGGGGAACUGAAACAUCUAAGUACCCGGAGGAAGAGAAAGCAAAUGCGAUUCCCUGAGUAGCGGCGAGCGAAACGGGAACAGCCCAAACCAAGAGGCUUGCCUCUUGGGGUUGUAGGACACUCUAUACGGAGUUACAAAGGAACGAUAUAAGCGAAGAGGUCUGGAAAGGCCCGCCAAAGAAGGUAACAGCCCUGUAACUGAAAUGUUGUUCUCUCCAGAGUGGAUCCUGAGUACGGCGGAACACGUGAAAUUCCGUCGGAAUCCGGGAGGACCAUCUCCCAAGGCUAAAUACUCCCUAGUGACCGAUAGUGAACCAGUACCGUGAGGGAAAGGUGAAAAGCACCCCGGAAGGGGAGUGAAAUAGAUCCUGAAACCGUGUGCCUACAAGUAGUCAGAGCCCGUUAAAGGGUGAUGGCGUGCCUUUUGUAGAAUGAACCGGCGAGUUACGAUCCCGUGCAAGGUUAAGCAGAAGAUGCGGAGCCGCAGCGAAAGCGAGUCUGAAUAGGGCGCAUGAGUACGUGGUCGUAGACCCGAAACCAGGUGAUCUACCCAUGUCCAGGGUGAAGUUCAGGUAACACUGAAUGGAGGCCCGAACCCACGCACGUUGAAAAGUGCGGGGAUGAGGUGUGGGUAGGGGUGAAAUGCCAAUCGAACCUGGAGAUAGCUGGUUCUCUCCGAAAUAGCUUUAGGGCUAGCCUCAAGGUAAGAGUCUCGGAGGUAGAGCACUGAUUGGACUAGGGGCCCCUACCGGGUUACCGAAUUCAGUCAAACUCCGAAUGCCGAUGACUUAUCCUUGGGAGUCAGACUGCGAGUGAUAAGAUCCGUAGUCGAAAGGGAAACAGCCCAGACCGCCAGCUAAGGUCCCAAAGUAUACGUUAAGUGGAAAAGGAUGUGGAGUUGCUUAGACAACCAGGAUGUUGGCUUAGAAGCAGCCACCAUUUAAAGAGUGCGUAAUAGCUCACUGGUCGAGUGACUCUGCGCCGAAAAUGUACCGGGGCUAAACGUAUCACCGAAGCUGCGGACUGUUCUAACGAACAGUGGUAGGAGAGCGUUCUAAGUGCUGUGAAGUCAGACCGGAAGGACUGGUGGAGCGCUUAGAAGUGAGAAUGCCGGUAUGAGUAGCGAAAGACGGGUGAGAAUCCCGUCCACCGAAUGCCUAAGGUUUCCUGAGGAAGGCUCGUCCGCUCAGGGUUAGUCGGGACCUAAGCCGAGGCCGAAAGGCGUAGGCGAUGGACAACAGGUUGAUAUUCCUGUACCACCUCCUCACCAUUUGAGCAAUGGGGGGACGCAGGAGGAUAGGGUAAGCGCGGUAUUGGAUAUCCGCGUCCAAGCAGUUAGGCUGGGAAAUAGGCAAAUCCGUUUCCCGUGAAGGCUGAGCUGUGAUGGCGAGCGAAAUUUAGUAGCGAAGUUCCUGAUUCCACACUGCCAAGAAAAGCCUCUAGCGAGGUGAGAGGUGCCCGUACCGCAAACCGACACAGGUAGGCGAGGAGAGAAUCCUAAGGUGAUCGAGAGAACUCUCGUUAAGGAACUCGGCAAAAUGACCCCGUAACUUCGGGAGAAGGGGUGCUUCUUAGGGUGUUAAAGCCCCGAGAAGCCGCAGUGAAUAGGCCCAGGCGACUGUUUAGCAAAAACACAGGUCUCUGCGAAGCCGUAAGGCGAAGUAUAGGGGCUGACGCCUGCCCGGUGCUGGAAGGUUAAGAGGAGCGCUUAGCGUAAGCGAAGGUGCGAAUUGAAGCCCCAGUAAACGGCGGCCGUAACUAUAACGGUCCUAAGGUAGCGAAAUUCCUUGUCGGGUAAGUUCCGACCCGCACGAAAGGCGCAACGAUCUGGGCACUGUCUCAACGAGAGACUCGGUGAAAUUAUAGUACCUGUGAAGAUGCAGGUUACCCGCGACAGGACGGAAAGACCCCGUGGAGCUUUACUGCAGCCUGAUAUUGAAUGUUGGUACAGCUUGUACAGGAUAGGUAGGAGCCUUGGAAACCGGAGCGCUAGCUUCGGUGGAGGCAUCGGUGGGAUACUACCCUGGCUGUAUUGACCUUCUAACCCGCUGCCCUUAUCGGGCAGGGAGACAGUGUCAGGUGGGCAGUUUGACUGGGGCGGUCGCCUCCUAAAAUGUAACGGAGGCGCCCAAAGGUUCCCUCAGAAUGG
rnacentral:rRNA from 1 species